rnacentral:lncRNA from 12 species
AAAUUACUUGGUGGAAAUUUUUAUUAUUAUUUAUGAUUUUUACCACUGUUAAGUGAGGUACCUGAGGUAAAAUUAUUGUAAUACGGCUUUGUUGCUUAAUGCUUUCAUAAGAAGAGAUAAAUACUAAUACAGGUAUCCAGUAUCAGGUCCUGAUGGCCUUCUUUAAAACUAUAUGACAACCAGUUUUUACCGCAUACCAUAUUAAACAUUUCCAGUAGACAUUGGAAAGAAAUUACAUUUCCUUCCUCUUCGCCACAAAGACAUUCAACUUGAACUGAGUUAAAUUGGAAAUUAUGAUGUCUACACACAACGCGCAUUCUCUCUAAUAAGCGUAUGUGAAACGUAUAGAGGGUAUAUAAGUGUAGGUUUUAAAACUGUAAUGCUUGUCUGUUUGUCUUCCCCUUUGACCCAUACAGGCAAGAGGAAGUUCACAGUCUCCAAGGCACCAAAUUACGCCAUUGAUCCGAACCCAAAAUGGCUCCAUGUCUGGCAUUUUCAGAGGCCGUUUCCAAGUCAAUGUCAUCCUAUCUGCCUUAAACUAAAAGAGACAAAUACGACUGGAAUAAGGUAAAGAUGGAGUGGUUGUCUUGCUGUUGUGCUGGUAUCAGACAUGGGCUCUUCAUCAGAUGACUAAUGGAGUUGUGCAGCUAACCAGGAGGCCCAAGGCUGUUUGUUAGCUCCUAACAAGGUGAACCAGCUCCUACGGAACAGCACACUAGCGCUGAAGGAUUUAUUAUAGAUCUGCGUGUCCGCGGGCCAUGAACAGUAUAGCGCCGGUCUCAUUGUAGUGGGUCCACCACACUAGCAGAGGGUUUAGAUCAUUAUUGCCUCAUUGUUUUGAUACAAUUUUGCAGAGCGGAUGAUGGAUGGAUGGAUAAUCGGAUGAGUAAAGGAGUUUUGGUAGCCUAGCACAUGAGGGUAAUGGAUGGACUGCAAAAACACACGAAAAUGAUAAGGAAAAGUGAGUUUUGAACAUGUUUUAUGAUGGAAUUUGGAAAAACAUUUUCAGUCUUUACACAUUUAGAUAGUUGACAUUGUUGAGUAGUUGACAGUGAUGUACUGUAUAUUUUAAUUACCUAAAUUAUAUUAAAAAUUUUUUUAAAAUUAAAUUUUUAAAAAUUUUUCUAUUUUACAUUGCAAUGGUAAAAAAAAAAAUAAAAUUGCACAAGUGACAUUUUAAACAAUUAUCUGGCACGUAAAGCAGCACAAAUUUUCCCAGAGAAAACUCUGUACUGUUCUGCCCUUUUGUCCCUCCGUCAGUACAAUCAGCCGGUGUCAUCCAGCGGUCAGUCUCCGUGCAAGGAGGGGCAGGCUGCGAGAGGUAAGGGGGGGCUUUAAGCGACGCUAAUCACCGUGCUCGCUGUCAAUCGCCUGCCAAUAUUAGCCACCCCGUCCCCAUCUGUCAGAAUGGGGCCUGAUGGCUCCCUCGUUAGCGCCGAUCACCUGCCCUCAGCCAGAGCGGCUGUGCUAACAUCCAUCACUCACCCGCGCCCAUUUUUCCGCCGCUGCUGUCUAAUGGCCUUCGUUCAAUUGUCUCCUUUAGCUUGGGCGCUACAAAGUUAGUAGAGCGCAGGGGUGAUGGGUUGGGGGGGAGGGAUGUAGAGGGAGGGGUGCGACAGAAGCAGCUCAAACAUUUCAGGCAUGCUGCGGUGGUGUAAUGAGCCAUGGCAGCUGGAUAUACCUGUGCAUGCUUUGAUAAAGGUGAGCUGACACACCAGGGCCAGAUAGGCACUUUGGUGUCGCAGACAUAUGUCUAUCUAUCACCGCAGAGUGCUGGAGGGGAGAGAGAGAGAGAGAGACAGGGAAGAGCAGCGUGAGUGGGAAAAAGCCAAUAGGGAGGAAAUGGUGUGAGAACAGCUGCUAGUAUUUUGUAGUCAUCAGUACGUACAAGCAGCGGUCUCCAAAUUGGACAUUCGUGGCUAGAAGGCUCCUGAUCUCAGUUUUCCCUCUAACAAUCCUCUGAAAGCCAAGCGAGAUGAUAAACUGUGAAGAGCGUCUCCAAGCUAUUCCUCUUGUGUGGCCCUCUGCGUCUCUCUCCAUUCCUGUAUUCUCUGCCGUUUCUUGCCUUUUGUCCAAAAAAGGAAAAGAGGGAAGCAAACAUUUAGGGGUGCAGUGUAGCAUGCUGGACUGAUGCAAUACAUUCUCUUUGUGGGACUGUAGCGGUAAAGCCGCUGGACUGUGGCUCUGCUCGCCAGCCGUGAGAUGAUUAAUUCAAACUUAACACUAGAGAAGACACUAAUAUUCAUCACCUCUGCUGCAUUCAUCUCCAACGCCAGCCUACAGCUCUCCUAAUUAAUCAGCACAGACUACACCCCAGCAAAGCUGCAAAACAACACUGUACGCUGAUAGAAAACAAUGCAGGAGAGCUCUGAGCUGCCGUGGCUGGGCGACUCAAAUCGCUGUACGUUUUGAUCUUUACUAGGCCUGACCAGUUUUAUUUAGAUAUAUUAAUUUAGUUCUUAAUAUUUGUAAUUACAUUUAAUUUUAUAGUUUUCCACCUUUUUAUUUAAAGUUUUUGUCAUUUUUAUUAGAUGCAUUUUUUUAAAUACAUUUUAAAUUAAAUAUAUAUAUAUUUUUAACAUAUAUCUGUAUAUGUGUUUUUUUUCUCCAGUUAAUUUUGUUUAAAGCAACACAUUUUUAUGCUUUUAGUUUUAGUUAAUAAAAUAACUGGUCCUGAUGCGAUUUUGAAAAUUUGGUGAGCAUUUCAUUGGCGUACAAAAAAAUUAUUUUAGUCACACUGGAAACAAUAAAAUAUAUGAUUUCUUUAAAGGUUUUCUAAGCAAGUAUAGCACAGUCUCAAAUGAUAUGAAAGUAAUAUUAUAAUUUAUAAAAACAAAUAAAGCAUUUCUUAUAAUAUAAUAAAGUUAUGCUAAUGUUUUUUUAAUCCAGCCAACCUGAAUAUAACAUUUAACUCAUAUUUGUUUUGCAUUUACAUUUAAAUUUAUUUAUAAUUAUUUAAUUGUGUAUAUAUAAAUAAUAAAUAUAUAAUGAUAAAAAUUAUCAUUAAUAUAGUCAUUAUUAUAUUGAAAAGUAUUUAUGUCUGUCCUAAUUAAAUCACUUUCACUCAUCAUUUCAUAGCAGUCCAGUUAAUAAGUUAAUCUCCAGUGAGUUUUAAUUUACCAAAUCAUUUUUCAAUAAUAAUAUUUUUUUGUUGUUUUUAUUGUUGUUUUUCUCAGAUCAUUAAAUCUCUUACUCUCUGUCAUAUAUGUUGGUUUUACCAUUGUAACAUCCAAGUGAAUCUGAAGCUCUUUGCAUGACACAAAUAUAUUAAAUUGGCAUUUAAUUUUAUGUUUGUGUAAAAUUCCUAUAUUUUGGAUGCCAGUAUGUGAAUUAACAUGCACAAAGAUAACCAUAAUCUGAAAUCACAAUGUAAAUAAUCGUGACAGGCCUAACAUUUACAAAUUUUUCAGACGCGAUUACGAAUUGUAGUCCAGCCCCCUUUCUUUAUUUCCAUACAUGAUGUUAUUCUGAAACGAGUGUCCCUGUGCCUUUUGUUCUUUUGAAAAUAAAUCCCAUUAGUCUAUGCGACAUCAUACACUAUUGUGUAUCUCUUUUGUUUCAUGCAAUUCAGAUGCCUAGCUCAAAUGAGAUAUAGAUCAUCUAAAUCGCGAUUGUUGAAUGGAAGGAUUGUUAGCAUGUAAAUGCAUCUCUUAAAUUAGCACCUUUCAUUGUGUAAUCAAGUUCUGCUGUAUGCAGAAAAAUAAGACUUUAAGGUUCUGAAUCCUGCGUUGCUAUAGAAAUCUUUUUUUUUUUUUUUAAUGCAGUACAAUCCCUCUCCUCAUCAGAGGGAGAAAAUACCUCACUUUGUUCUGUUGUGCAUUGCAUUGUUGUUAGCCUUCCAUUCAAACAAAGGAGACAUUUUAUGGUGCAAACGAUCUAUUCAGUGUUGCCUCCUCUCAUAACUCCUCUCAGAAACUGCCUUUUAUGCUGGAGAAACACCCUCAUAUGUUAAACAGACAAAAAACCAAAUCCCUUCUUCCAAGAGGGAAAAAAGAAGUGUGCAUUUUGCCGAGAGCUAUUUUUCUCGUUUUGUCACAGGGGAACGAGAGUUUACACGUGCCUCAACAUGGCGGCCUUGACCGUGUAUGAAAUAGAACAAAAGUGCUGACUUCAUCUCCACUUCCCUUUUCUCUCAGUAGCCAGAGAAUCUCAUCAGCACUGCUUCUCUUCAGCAUCUGUUUCGGUUAUGAUGGCCACCUGUCCUGUUGUCCCUUGAGACGAGGAGAUAGGAC